UGAGGACAAAUCAGAAAAUUACAAGGGGGAGAGACGGGUCAAAAGAAAGAAAAAGAAAAGGGGAGAUGGCGUUGGCCAAGAGGGCGAUUACAAGGAAUCCCACUGCCCCGAAACUAUGAACCGGGAUAAGGAGGAAAGAAGAACGGGAAAGAAGGGGGGAACAAAGAGAGAAACUGUACCCCGUCUUUUGAGAGAGGUCGAAGGAAGUAUAGAAGGAAGUGUAGAAGACGAUGUCUGAAGAAGCAAAGAGAAUCAUAACAAAGGUAUGAUUCCUUUUGUCGACCCGCAACAUUGGUAAAAACUCCUAGCUCUCUUUGUUCUUUCCAUAAUUGCUUUGUAUCAAUCUUCUUAUUACUUUCAAUUUUAUACAUUGGGUGUGUUGAUCAAAUUAUCAUGUUUAAGGGUUUGGGAAAAAUGGUCAAUUCUUGUUUAUUGUUGACAUAAUUGAAAUUAAAGUUAUAAAUAUGAUUGAAUUGUAUAAAAGUAUUUUGAAGUUACGUUUUGGAUUAGAAGAAUUUGGUUCUAAGUUGCAGGAACUUAUGUGUCUGCAGAGAAAAGCUAUGUUUCAGUAGCUUACUUUGGCUCUUGAUUUCUAUGUCCUAAUGGAUUCCUUUUGAUCCAUUAUUAUGUGUUUUGAAACUAGACAUGUCAAUGAUCAAAGCCCAUCUGAUUUCACAUAAUUCUGUUGAGUUUUGAUAUGUCAAAACCAUGUACAAAUUUGAGUCACAAAGCUGCCAGACAGCAGCAAAUACUGGAUUUCCAGUUUCGUGGUUCUAUUAUGUAUCUUGCAUAACUUUCAAAUCGGAACCCCAUUUCUUACAAAUCUUAGAUGUUUUUAAUGUACUCAAAACAAGCUUCGAAUCUCAUGUAAGUUUACAUCAUUUGGUGUAGUUAUGGGUGUUCAAAUCGAGCUUAAUCUUGAUUGACUAAGACUGUUUUUUUGCAACUUUUGUGGAGAUGAGGCUGUUGCUUUUGCAAUAUCAUUUCUUCUUACAACUUAAUUCUAAUUUACUUAUCUAUUUUGAGUUUGUGCUAAAACCACUUGAUAAGGUUACGUAUUGGGUUCCAAAAGAACCACUUUCUUAUAUAAUUAUGUGCCAACGUAUUUAUGUAUUCUUUACCUAUUCAGGUUGCGUAUACACAUAUUUGUAUAUUCAUGCAUAAGCAUGCAAGUUCUUGAACUACACCAAAAUAACCUUUACGUUCGCAAUUCUUUUUCAUAUGUUGCUAUGGCUGUUGGGUAGUUCCAACUUUACCGAUCAAAGCAUUUCUUUAAAGUCAGAAACAAUGAAUAUUAUAUAGGUGUGUAUUAUAUGAUUCCAUCCCUUGGCUUAUAAGAUAAAUCUGAGUAAAGCUGUGAUAUGAUUGUAAGCUCAAUUACUUUAUUGUGUUGGUGCAUUUUUAUACCUAUUGAAACACAUCAUUACUAAUGGUCCAGAAUUAUUCCUUCAUGUGUAUUUACAAAGAUUUAUUUUGGAUGAACCAAAUAGGGCAUUGAAUUUGGAUACUGUUACAUUAGUAAUCCAAAGUACUGUCAUUAGGAUUAAAAUUCAAGUCAUGCAUAUAGUAGUAUCUUGCAUUUGUGAAACAGAAUUUGGCCACGAUGGUGGAUCCUUGUGUUAGUAACUAAGAGCAAUGCUUAGGAAUCCAUGUAAGUGAAAUACGACAUACCUUUAUGGAGAUGAUGAGGUUUAGAUAUACCUGGUACAUUUAGUAGGUACCAUAUGCUUGCUUGGAUUCCGUUGAGUGAUGGUCUAGAAUUCCUUUUACUCCGGAUUUCGUUGAGAGAUGGUCUGGAAUCCCUUCUACUCUACGAUUUCGUUGAGUGAUGUUCCGGAAUCGUAUCUAACUUGGGUUUCACUUAGUGGUGGUUGUGCAUUGUGCUCAGCGAUUCCGUUGAGUGAUGGUCCGGAAUCGUAUCCACUCGGAUUCCGUUGAGAGAUGAUCCGAAAUCCCUCAUACUCCGUGAUUCCGUUGAGUGAUGGUCUGUAAUCAUAUCUUGAUUUGGAGUCCGUUGAGUAGUCCGGAAUCCCUACUCUUGCUCAUUUCCAUAAGUUAGAUUUGUUCCCUGGAUUCGAGUGAAUGAGAUUUACCCACAAUAGAUCUUAUGAAUAUAAAUUAGAAUUAUCAAGUUAUUACUUGAAAUUCAGGCAGGGAAUUAUGUAGAAGUUCUUUAUUAAUUUUUGUGCAUUGAGGUGUGAUCUGAUUGACUGAUUAGCAUAAUUAAAUGUUAAUAUCGUGCCUCCUUGAUAUCAUGGAAUGGGUUACUUGAGAUGAUUAUGGAAGGAUGUUGAAGUUAUUAACAUGAUUAGAUUAGUGAUUAAUGCGACUAGAGGAUACUAUUGUGCUAUGUUGAUUCUUUGAUAUAUUACAUGAUAUGAAUAGCGAUUUUAUGUUGAAGCAUAAUGAUUUAUAUGAUGGAUGAAAUAGAAACCUUGAAUGUCAUGUGGGUUUGUUUUGUAGCCAAGAAUCUAGUAAUUCAUGCUUGUUAAGUUCUAAUAAUUGAUUGAGGAAUACUAUACUUUUCGAUUUGAAUGUACUGUGAUAAACGUCCCAAUGUAAUGAAAAGUUGAACUAUGAAUGGGUUGAUCCUUAUUGAGGGUACGUAGGCAGUUUAACGAAGAGAUUAGAUGGAGCCAUAAAGUAUAUGCAAAAUUAUUAUGCAUCUGGAUCUUGAAUUAUAUUUUGUACAUAUCAAAAAGGCGAUGUAUGUUGAGUUACGGGCAUUUAGGGACGUCACGUGUCUAUCUUGGACGUAUGUCGGGAUCAGGGCUUGACACUUUAUGUGCUUAGGUGCGUUUAUUAGCGGCGAUUCCGUUCUUCCUACUUCAUAUGGCUCUUCGUUGGUGAAGUAUCUGUGAGUGGACCCCUUCUAAAAUGCAUGUUUUAAUAGUAGAAUUGCAUACAUGAAAAGCAUGAUUUAAUGACUGUGUUUUAUGAUAUAUUAUGCUUACUGAGAAUAGUUUGAAUUAUCAUAUUUUAUCGAACUGAUGUUCUUUGUAGUAUAUAUGAUGGAUGACUAUAUACUAUUUAGAACAUGCUUUUACACACUUCUUUAUAGUAUAGAUAAUGGAUGACUUUAUACUAUGAAGAUGUUUUGAGAUUUAUAUAUAUACCUACGUUUGGAAAGAUUAUGUUCAAUGUUUUGUGUAUCUAGUGGUCACUAUACCUCCACGGGCAAGGAUUAUGGUUGUUGGCUGCGGCUCGGAAGAAAUAAUCUUUAGCUUCGGGCUGAGAGACAUGGAGCAAGCAUAGGGCCUGGAGAAAUAAUCUCUGGCUUCGGGCGUAGAGACAAGGAAGCUGGCAUGAGACCGAGAGUUAUUGAUAUUUGAUACCAUUAUUUAGCACACUAUAUACGAGAUAUGUGACUUGGAAAGAUUUUAUGGCAUGCUAGGGUUUUCGGAAAACCUAUCACAUAUUAUGUUAUUAGUUUUCAUAAAACUUUGGGGGUUAGUACGUUGAAUAGCUGUUUCAGUAGUAUAUAUAUAUAUAUAUAUCAACUUGGUCCACUCAUGUUUUGUUUUGCGCCCCCUUUAGGACUUAGAAUUGAGGUGUACAAUCCCGGCGUCGAAGCACUUCCACAUCGCCAUUUUCGAGUCCUCUCGGUGUACAACCCAUUUCUUUACUGUAGAGAAGUCAAUGAUAUCAUUCCUGAUAUCUUGGCUUAGUUUAGGUAACAUUUUUGUAAUUGAUUUGUAUAAAGUUUAGUUUCCUGUUGUAUACC
rnacentral:lncRNA from 1 species